CUUCGACUGUGGGGGAGUGAAAGACAGAAGACAGAUGCAUUGGCUGCCAGCUAAUCUUGACAUCCACUUUUUCUUUCCUCACCCUGGCAGCCAGCAGUUGCAGACACGUGUACAGGCUAAACCCUUCGGUACCAGGAGCGGAUCCGCACGCAUCUCCCGCUCUGUCUGCCUGCCCGUCUCGCCCCUGCCACCCUCCGCACCCCUCCUCGGCUCCUUUGCCACUCCGGGAGGGGUGGGAGGAGGAACUGCACUUUCUUUUUGUGCGUGUGAGCGCACCUUUUUCCUCACCGACGUCCUCUCUCGCAGCCUUUUCCAACCCCGCGUCGAGAUUUUUGUGUAUUUGUUUUCUUUUCCACGCUCGCAGUUCUUUCUUUCUUCUCACCCGAGCGAUGCAGGAGGAGUUGGGAAGCUCAGGGACGGAUGGGGGGUUCGCUUAUCCAUUUUUCCCCCGUCGCCAGCUCUUGAAGGACCAGCAGAAAAACUAAGCCAAACAUUUAUUUUCCGACCGGGUCUCCCCCCCCUCCCGCCGCUCUCCGCCGGACCAGCGAAUUAACAAAACCCCACGUUACACCAAAAAAAAAAAAAAAAAAAAAAAAAAAAAAGGGGGGGAAAAACUAAAACCCUAAAACCACCAAAACAAAAAGCAGAGAGGGGAGAAGAAGGAGGGUGCGAAGCGCUGUCACCCCGACCCGCGGCGGGCACCGGGCCGGGCACCGGCGGAACAAAGCCGGCACCGGGCUCCGGGAGGAGAGGCCGGGGGGCGGGGGAGAGGGAGCAGCCCCGGCUGGUGCUAUCUCCGCAUCCCUUUUGUUAUUGAUCGCCAGGACGAAGAGCCGGGGAGACGGCACUUUCCAGCGCAAUUUAAUUUUAUUUUAUUUUUUCCCCCCCCCCCCAAACGCGACUCGCAGCUUUUGCUGCCCCGAAUUAACGGGCGGAGGCGGACUUUGAUGGGGAAACGCUUUUUCCUCCCCGAUGCAUCGUAAGUAACUUAAGUUAUUAUUUAUACUCCGCAAAACAAGCACGGCGAUAACAUCUCCCAUCUCUGGAGCGCUGGAGGCCGCGGCGAGGGAUGAGAGCUGCCCUUCCCCAUCCGAGCAGGACACUUUUCCGCUCGUAAUUCAUUUGAUUUGAUUUUGAUUUUUUAAAUUUUCCAUGCUCCGCUCCCGGAGGAUCAUUUGAACUGUAAAGGAAUCGCCGAGGGGGCGAGGGGACCCGGAGACAGCGGCUGUGCAAACGACUCCACCGAGGUAAGCAGCCCUAACAAUAUAUCCCUUUUCCAGGUAGCACGGGCAUGGCUUUAGUAGGGGGGAUGAGAAGGGGAGAGGAAAUAAAAGCAAAGUCUCUUUCUGGUUCGGAUAGCCAAAACGGAACGUCUGGAUAAAACCAAGCAGGAAAAUUCGACACACACCGUGGAGAAACCUUUAAGCAACUUUCUCCACGAACCACCUCUGUAAUUGCCCGUUUUCCUACAACCGCCCUACAAAUCCUCCUCCUGGUAGCGUGCUUUCUCCUCUACCCGCUCACUUGGAUCUCAGUUGAGAGGUGAUUUUAUUUUUAAUUUUAUUUUAUUCGCCCUCGCUGAUAUCGCUGAUAGCUGACCUGCGCGCUGGCCGCUUUUAUUUCCUACCCGUGCCUCGUGGGCCUGCUUAGUGCAAGGCUCCUUACCAAAACAGAGGGGACGAAGCCCUUCCGACGGCCCUGGCCAGCGGCGGCUCCUUUUGGGGCAUCUCCUCUGCCCCUCCGCCGCCCCGGGGCUUCCCCGGGGAGCGCUCUCCCUCGCCCGAUCGGUGCCCCUCCAUUAUGCUCCUUAUUAUUUCUGCUUCUAACGUCUUCGAUUUUUUAUAUAUAUAUAUUUUUUAUUUAUUAUUUUUUUUCCCCUGUGACCCGAGGGGGGAGACUUUGCCUGGAAACUUUACGUGGAAACACCCGGCGAUCUGAAUUCUGGGGAGGUGGUGUGCCCUCCUCCCCACCUCGCCCGACACCCCAGCCCUGUGCACACACGCACACGCACACACACAUUUGUGUCCAAGGUUAUUCACGAGGUGCCUGAUGUAUUGUUUUAUUACAUGCCGGCAUGUCCACGUACGCGCUCGGAUUUGUAUUGCUGUCUACAUGACAGAUGGUGCUCUGUGAGGCCGCAAGAAGAUACGAUUCAAUUUUCUUUUGAAAGGCACGUCCGCAUUUAUUUAUUUAUUUCCCCUUUCUUUCCCCCCACCCUUUUCGCGCAGGGAGGGGAGAGGAGGGAAAAUUUAAAGGAAUGGAAAAGUUCGGCCGCUGCUUUGGGGUUUUGGUUCUUUUUAUUAUUAUUUUGUUUUUGUUUUGAAUCUCACCCCUAAAAAACAAAUCCUGAGAGCCUCCAAACGUCCCCAUUGGGUCGCUGGCAAGCUGCUAUCUGAGCACAAUUAGCAGCAGGAAAAAUAAUAAUAAUAAUAGUGACAGUAAUAGAAAGAGGAGCUCACAGAAAAGAGCAGGAGGAGAGCCCAGCAGCUCCACCAGAUCCCGCAGGUCUGACCAGGGAAAUAAAUUUCCCCACUGGCCUUGCUGUGCUCGGGGAGCCUUGAGCCGUGUGUCUGUCUCCCCUUUUAAAAGCAUCGUGCCAGCGGCCCGGAGCCCGAAAGAGAAACGGUGGAGCAGAGCUUGGCAGGGGAGGACGUGCGAUGGAGGAAAACAAACCAGCCCGAUGCUAAGCCUCUGGACGCUAGUUUAUUAGAAAUAAAUCCGCAUCCUCUUUUAUCGCUCCCCGGGCCUGUUUCUACACAGGGGGGAGUAGCGGGAGCACACGCGGGACACGGGGCGGUGCUGCGGGUCGGGGGCGCUGACCCCCUUCUCUCUGCUUCUCUGUCCCGGGAAGGCUCCUCCGCCCCCUCCACGAUGAUGCUCAGCCCGGACCAAGCGGCAGACUCCGACCACCCCUCCUCGGCGCCCUCCGACCCCGAGUCCCUGGGGGGCGCGGACCCCCGGGCUCUGGGCUGCUGCGCCUCCGACCCGGAGCCGGCCGAGGGCGGCGGGGGCGGCGGCGGCGGGGGCGGCGGGGAGGGUCGUGCCGGGGGCCGGCCGGGGCUGCACCCACCGCCGCUCAGCCGGGAGGAGAAGCGCCGCCGUCGUCGAGCCACGGCCAAGUACCGCUCGGCCCACGCCACGCGGGAGCGGAUCCGCGUGGAGGCCUUCAACCUGGCCUUCGCCGAGCUGCGCAAGCUGCUGCCCACGCUGCCGCCCGACAAGAAGCUCUCCAAGAUCGAGAUCCUGCGCCUGGCCAUCUGCUACAUCUCCUAUCUCAACCACGUCCUGGACGUGUAGCCCCCGCACGCCCGCCCCGACGGCCCCGCGGAGGCCGCAUCGGGACGCGCCGCGCACCGGGAGCCCGGCCCCGAGCGGACCCGGCCGGCUGCGGGGCCGGGCGCAGCCGGUGCCGGGCUCGGGGAGCUUUCCCCGCUCCUCUGCUCCAGAGGCUGAGGCCCGGCGGCGCGGAACGCCCGCGUUUUUGGGCAGAGAGGUGUGAAACCAGAUUGUCUCUUCAGGCUGUCAAGUGCCCCUUUAUAUAUAUCCAAAAACAUCUACUUGUGACCUUAAACGUGUGACCCAUGGGUGCAGUUAAAAAUAACUAUUUUUUAUUUAUGGUAGAAGGAGUGGACAAUUUAUUUUUUUCAAGACUUAUUUAUUUUUCAGAGUGGUGGCAAUUUUACUUUGGAUACUUUGUGCCAAUUGUUUUCUAUAGUCGCGUGUUUACACUUUCUCCUGUGGAAUAUUACGUUUAACUUUAUAAGUGUUUGUUGGGAUCGAUACAGUGUUCCUUUUCCUUUUCUUUUCCUCUUAUUUUUUUUUUUCUUUUCCGAUUAUAUUGCACUUGUGUAUGACAGACCUUCCCUUCCUCCCUGUUUAUAAGUAUAUUUUAUAUAUAUCAAGACAUUUGCUCUUGAACUCUUUUCUUUCUUUCCUUCCUUCCUCCCUUCUUUCUUCCUUCUUUUUCUCUUUCCUUUUUUCUCUUUCCUUCUUUCUUUCCUUCCUUCCUUCUUUCUUUCUAUUUUAUUAUUAUUUUUUGUGCGUGUGUGUGGGAUCAACAACCACUAGCACUUAACUAGAAGAGUUUUUUUAAAACUUGUUGUUAUUCUGAUCUAUAGUUAUGUCUGAAAAGUACUUUGCAAAUCGUUUAUAAGGGAAGUAGUUUUUUUGUGGGUGUAUAUGUGCGUGUGUGCAUACCUGUAUGUGUGUGGGGUUGAGCGUGGGUGUGUAUGUGUGCGGUAUAUUUUUAGGAAAGGACAUUUUUCCUAAAAAAAAAAAAAAAAAAAGGAAGAAGAAGAUGAAGAAGAAGUAAAUCCAGGACUGCUUUCCUUUGUGACAACCAAAAAAUUCUAUAACCUGAAAAUGUUUCAUGUUCUUUGCUGUGAAUCUCUUAAAACAAGAUGCGCAUUUUGGGGACGAGAAAGAAAAAGAAAAAAACCACAUCUGCUAUCCAAAGAUUUUAGUCUUUUUCAGGGUUUUUUUGUGUGUCUCUGUUGCUUUAUAUAAUGCAAUAUUUUGUAGUGAAAAUAGAUAAAUCUGGUUUCUAUCUGAUGCGUUUUUCAUAUCUCUCAUGAAUGGUGAGCUGUUUUGCAUAUAAAUAAAAGUAUCAAAUAAAAGCUGUUUUUUCCUAAUUAUUUUUCCCUGUUGGUCUUUCUAUAAGAUGGAGAUUUGACAGAGUGUAUGGUCUGCCUUGUGAAUA
ensembl:lncRNA